CGGAUUGCAGGCUGCAACUCGCCUGCAUGAAGCUGGAAUUGCUAGUAAUCGCGGAUCAGCAUGCCGCGGUGAAUACGUUCCCGGGCCUUGUACACACCGCCCGUCACACCAUGAGAGUCGGGAACACCCGAAGUCCGUAGUCUAACCGCAAGGAGGGCGCGGCCGAAGGUGGGUCCGGUAAUUGGGGUNAAGUCGUAACAAGGUAAC
rnacentral:rRNA from 1 species